GAUGAACGCUGACAGAAUGCUUAACACAUGCAAGUCGAUUCAAGUUACCUUCGGGUAAUGAGGAUGGCGGACGGGUGAGUAACGCGUAAGGAACUUGCCUCUUGGUCUGGGACAACUGUUGGAAACGACAGCUAAUACCGGAUAUUAUGAGAUUCUCGCAUGGGAAACUUAUGAAAGCUAUAUGCGCCAAGAGAGAGCCUUGCGUUCCAUUAGCUAGUUGGUGGGGUAACGGCCCACCAAGGCGACGAUGGAUAGCCGGCCUGAGAGGGUGAACGGCCACAAGGGGACUGAGACACGGCCCUUACUCCUACGGGAGGCAGCAGUGGGGAAUAUUGGACAAUGGGCCACAAGCCUGAUCCAGCAAUUCUGUGUGCACGAUGAAGGUCUUCGGAUUGUAAAGUGCUUUCAGUUGGGAAGAAGAAAGUGACGGUACCAACAGAAGAAGCGACGGCUAAAUACGUGCCAGCAGCCGCGGUAAUACGUAUGUCGCAAGCGUUAUCCGGAUUUAUUGGGCGUAAAGCGCGUCUAGGCGGAAAAAUAAGUCUGAUGUUAAAAUGCGGGGCUCAACUCCGUAUUGCGUUGGAAACUGUUUUUCUAGAGUACUGGAGAGGUGGGCGGAACUACAAGUGUAGAGGUGAAAUUCGUAGAUAUUUGUAGGAAUGCCGAUGGAGAAGUCAGCUCACUGGNCAGAUACUGACGCUGAANCGCGAAAGCGUGGGGAGCAAACAGGAUUAGAUACCCUGGUAGUCCA
rnacentral:rRNA from 1 species